UAUAUUUAAUUUUUUUAAAAUAAACUCAUGUAAUAUAUGAGUCUCACACCUAAUAUAAAAUAUAAGCCAUAUAUGUAUAAUAAAAAAAUCUUUUAAAUUUUAGAUAAUGACAUUAACGUGAAUUGCAAUAUCUUCAGAGCUUAACUAAAAAAUCUAUCCUUUUUUUUAAUAGUAAUAUGAUCAAAUACAUCAAACAAGUUAAACAUAAAUAACAACCGCUUGUUACUACAAUAGAUAAAAAAUACUAAUAAAAUAAUAAUUUCGAAUAUAGCUUAAUAACUUUAUUUUAAAAAUAAUAUACAUUGCUAUGUUGAGUUAAAAAUAUUGCUAUAUUAUUGUUUUCUGUUGAAACUAAAAACCAAGGGGUGGCUUUUUUAUAUUUUAAAUUUUCCAAUCCAGAGCAAAAAGAAUAACAUACAUUACAAAUACAUAUUAAUGGUAACUGAUAUUUCUGAGUUAAUUAUAUGAUCUUUAGAGUAUUUAAAAACAAAGUGAUGGCCAAAGGGAAAAUUUCACGAGAAAAACUAAUUAUUCGUCGCCUUUUAUCACUAUGUCCUCUUGAUUUUAAAUGUAUUAACAAUGAUAGACAAUCAAUUAUCUAUGCACUUCAAACUAUAAUGGUCUAAAGGUAAACUAAUUGCUGAAAUAAUAUGAAACUGUUCUUCACCAGUAACAUCCCAAGUUCAGGAGUGCAAACUCAGGGUUCAAAGUGUAAAUGUGAAAGAGUAACUCAGCGAGUCCAUGGGUGGACUCGGCGAGUAGGGUCGUGAUUUUGGUCACGUUUUAAGUGGCCAACUCGGCGAGUCGGCGGCUGGACUCGGCGAGUUGGUGCUGUGUGGAGAAAACCCUAAUUUCAGAGGAUGAGCCCUAUAUAAAGGACAUUAUACCCUCUCCCCAGCCUCUUUACCCUCUCUUGAAGUCCAGAAAACCCUAGGGAGCGUUUGUGAGUGGUUUGAGAGCAUUUGAACCUUGGAGAAGAGAUUUUGGAAGAGAUCUUGGAGAGUUAAGAGGCUUUGAGCAUGGGGCUUUGCUAGGAUUUGGAUUUCUCUUCUGUUGGAGUUUCCUUUUGAGUGGUGGAGUUCGUGACGCUGGUCGGAGCAGCGUGGACUGUUCUUCAAUCGGCAGUAGCAGGUUUUCUCUGGAUCAUGGGACGGCACCGGCUCGAUUGUACACACCAGAGGAAGCGGUUGUUUUGAAGAUCCUAGUUUAUUAAUUGAUUGAACAAAGAGUCAUGUAUUGUAAUUUAUACAAAAUGGGAUUUUUAUGAAAAGUAUUAAGGAGAAAAGUAAUUUUAAUUCAAAAAAAUUUGUUUUGAAAAAUUUCGGCGUUACAUCACCCCUCUCUAUAUAAG